rnacentral:rRNA from 1 species
AAACAUAGACUAAUCUUUACCUAACAUACUCCGCCCGGGUAUUACGAGCAUCAGCUUAAAACCCAAAGGACUUGGCGGUGCUUUACAUCCACCUAGAGGAGCCUGUUCUGUAACCGAUAACCCCCGUUAAACCUCACCUCUCCUUGCUUAACCCGCCUAUAUACCACCGUCGUCAGCUUACCCUCUGAAGGCCAAAUAGUAAGCUAAAUUGGCAAACCCCAGAACGUCAGGUCGAGGUGUAGUGCAUGCAGAGGGAAGAAAUGGGCUACAUUUGCUUUAAAAGCAAAUACGAAUGAGGUACUGAAAUGUACCACUGAAGGAGGAUUUAGCAGUAAGCGGGAAAUAGAGUGUCCC